GGGCAUGUGCACACCCGCCAUCCUCAUCUCUCCACCUGUGCACCUCUUGUAGACCUGGAUAGACUUUCCGAGGCAACUCGGUCGGGAAGAUUGCUGCGCUCUGUGAGCCAGCUUUCUUUGCAUGUCCAGGCCUAUGUUUUUCAUAUACCCCUAUAGAAUGUAACAGAAUGUAUCAUUGGGCCUUGUGCCUAUAAACCUUAUACAACUUUCAGCAACGGAUCUCUUGGCUCUCGCAUCGAUGAAGAACGCAGCGAAAUGCGAUAAGUAAUGUGAAUUGCAGAAUUCAGUGAAUCAUCGAAUCUUUGAACGCACCUUGCGCUCCUUGGUAUUCCGAGGAGCAUGCCUGUUUGAGUGUCAUUAAAUUCUCAACCUUAUUAGCUUUUGUUGAUAAUGGAUUGGAUGUGGGGGUUUCUUUUGCUGGCUUCUUCACAGAUAUCAGCUCCCCUUAAAUGCAUUAGCUGGUGCCCCGCGUGGACCAUCUAUUGGUGUGAUAAUUAUCUACGCCGUGGAUGUCUGCAAUCAUAUGGGUUUU
rnacentral:rRNA from 1 species